GAAACUGCGAAUGGCUCAUAAAUCAUAUGUGAUUUCUUAGAUCGUACAGUCCGUAACGGACCGAGGAUAACUGUGGUAUUCUAGAGCUAUACAUGCACUCAGUUUGACCCUCGGGAAGAACGCUCAUAUAGACCAAGACCUACCAUCGGGCAACUCGGUGUAGUCUAGGUGACUCUGGAUAUUAAUCAGUUAAUCGAAUGGCCUUGUGCCGUCGAUGUAUCUUUCAAGCGUAUGCCCUAUCACCUGUCGACGUUAGGUUAACAGCCUAUCGUGGGGGUAACGGGUAGCGGGGAAUCAGGGUUCGAUUCCGGAGAGGGCGCAUGAGAAAUGGCGACCACAUCCAAGGAAGGCAGCAGGCGCGCAAAUUACCCAAUGCCGACACGGCGAGGUAGUGACGAAAAAUAACAAUACGGGACUCUUUUGAGGCCCCGUAAUUGGAAUGAGCACAAUCUAAAUCCUUUAGCGAGGAUCUAUUGGAGGGCAAGUCUGGUGCCAGCAGCCGCGGUAAUUCCAGCUCCAAUAGCGUAUAUUAAAGUUGCUGCAGUUAAAAAGCUCGUAGUUGGAUCUCGAGGCGUGUYUAGUCGGUCCUGUUCACGCAGGCACUGAUCUGACCCCUUAACUGUUGGUAUUCGUCUCCGGGUGCACUUCAUUGGGUGCCCGCGAGAGGCCAAUGUGUUACUGUGAAAAAAUUAGAGUGUUCAAAGCAGGCUUUAUGUUCGGAUAGCCGUGCAUGGAAUAAUAGAAAACGAAACUGGCGCUUUUCUGUUGGUCUCGGCGACCAGUUUAAUGAUUAAGAGGGACUGCCGGGGGCAUUGGUAUGGCGGGGUUAGAGGUGAAAUUCUUGGAUCCUCGCCAGACCAACAAAA
rnacentral:rRNA from 1 species